GACGAAGGGGGCUAGCGUUGUUCGGAAUUGCUGGGCGUAAAGCGCGUGUAGGCGGUUGUUCAAGUCAGGUGUGAAAGCCUUGAGCUCAACUCAAGAAAUGCACUUGAUACUGGAUGACUAGAGGACCGGAGAGGAUAGUGGAAUUCCCAGUGUAGUGGUGAAAUACGUAGAGAUUGGGAAGAACACCAGUGGCGAAGGCGGCUAUCUGGACGGUUUCUGACGCUAAGACGCGAAAGCGUGGGGAGCAAACAGG
rnacentral:rRNA from 1 species